rnacentral:rRNA from 1 species
UCGGGAAUAUUGCGCAAUGGAGGAAACUCUGACGCAGUGACGCCGCGUGCAGGAAGAAGGUUUUCGGAUUGUAAACUGCUUUUAACAGGAAAGAAAAAAAUGACGGUACCUGUUGAAUAAGCUCCGGCUAACUACGUGCCAGCAGCCGCGGUAAUACGUAGGGAGCGAGCGUUAUCCGGAUUUAUUGGGUGUAAAGGGUGCGUAGACGGAAAUGCAAGUUAGUUGUGAAAUACCUCGGCUUAACUGAGGAACUGCAACUAAAACUAUAUUUCUUGAGUAUCGGAGGGGUUUGUGGAAUUCCUAGUGUAGCGGUGAAAUGCGUAGAUAUUAGGAAGAACACCGGUGGCGAAGGCGACAAACUGGACGAUAACUGACGUUGAGGCACGAAAGUGUGGGGAGCAAACAGGAUUAGAUACCCUGGUAGUCCACACCGUAAACGAUGGAUACUAGGUGUUGGCAAUGAAUAAUUGUCGGUGCCGGCGCUAACGCAAUAAGUAUCCCACCUGGGGAGUACGACCGCAAGGNUG